rnacentral:lncRNA from 1 species
GAAAAUCUUCCAGCUCUAGUCAAGCCUUCAGGUGAGCAAUGAGACUUAUGGAAACAAAUCUGCCUAAUGCCAUUUAGCUAGUAAACAUAAAGAGAAGUCCAGAACCUAGCCCUCUUUGACCUCUCUGCCCACACUCUCAGCUACUAGAGGAUGGAGACUGGCAGAAGAAAAGCAGAAGAUUCUGGAGUCCAGAACACCAGCUCUUAGUGCCAGGAACUGCCAGGUAAGAAUUCUGACUACACUGAGGCCACCAUGCUCUGAGGAAGUCAAGCCAGAUGGAAAGAUCACAGCAGGAGAACUGGUCAGCAGUCAUACUCUUGAACUCAUCCCAACCCAGACUCCAGACAUGUGAAUGGACAAGUCUUCAGAUGAUUCCAGCACAAAGCCAUUGAGUCACCUCCAGCCAUUGAGUGUCCCCAGCCGAGACACCAGUCACCAUCAAGCAGAGCCAGUAUGCCUGUUAUGCCUGUCCAAAUUCUUGACCCACUAAAUUCUAU